rnacentral:lncRNA from 1 species
AAUCAUUUUAAAUAAAAUAAAUCCACAGCAGUGUUAGUCUGGUCCUUUUUCUUCCUUCAACUUCAUUGUGACAUUUGAGCAUGUUGAAGGGAAAGUAAAUAACCCUGUCUUUCUCCUUUUACACCUCAGCUGCUCUUCAAAGCAACAGAAUAUAUAAUUAUUAUGUGCUUACAUCUGAAGAGGAUCCUUGAAGAUAUUAAGGAAUUCAGUAGAAAUCUGUUGCAAAUAACAGGAAGAAAUAUAUAAUGGCAAAAAGAAAAGAAAGGAAAAAAAACUCAGAGUACUUGGAGUCAACACACCUGAACCUGAAACCUGGACUCUCCAAGGUCCCAAGAUCUGAAACAUUCAUUCAUGAAGUGGAUCAUGGAUUGGUUCAGUCUUGUGGAAGAACCACUUUAAAUCUGCACGGUCUAAGCCAGGAAGAGAUCACAAAGGCUGCCUCUCCCCUGUGAGGGAUAACAAAGGGGAGAAUAACUUAAAGGUGUACGGCACUUGAGGAGUGACAUCAGCACACACUCAAAAUCAGUAAGUCUUUGAAGAGCUCUUGAGGUAAGGUUCUACCAUUUUCCUGAAUUCCCGUUACAUAAUCACCAAGCAGAAAGCCAGUUUCCACUCAAACACAUCUAGAGGUAAGAAAUUCUUUUUUUUCCUGGGCAGCCAAGUCCAUUUUCAG